rnacentral:rRNA from 1 species
GAACGCUAGCUACAGGCUUAACACAUGCAAGUCGAGGGGCAGCAUGGUCUUAGCUUGCUAAGGCCGAUGGCGACCGGCGCACGGGUGAGUAACACGUAUCCAACCUGCCGUCUACUCUUGGACAGCCUUCUGAAAGGAAGAUUAAUACAAGAUGGCAUCAUGAGUCCACAUGUUCACAUGAUUAAAGGUAUUCCGGUAGACGAUGGGGAUGCGUUCCAUUAGAUAGUAGGCGGGGUAACGGCCCACCUAGUCUUCGAUGGAUAGGGGUUCUGAGAGGAAGGUCCCCCACAUUGGAACUGAGACACGGUCCAAACUCCUACGGGAGGCAGCAGUGAGGAAUAUUGGUCAAUGGGCGAGAGCCUGAACCAGCCAAGUAGCGUGAAGGAUGACUGCCCUAUGGGUUGUAAACUUCUUUUAUAAAGGAAUAAAGUCGGGUAUGCAUACCCGUUUGCAUGUACUUUAUGAAUAAGGAUCGGCUAACUCCGUGCCAGCAGCCGCGGUAAUACGGAGGAUCCGAGCGUUAUCCGGAUUUAUUGGGUUUAAAGGGAGCGUAGAUGGAUGUUUAAGUCAGUUGUGAAAGUUUGCGGCUCAACCGUAAAAUUGCAGUUGAUACUGGAUAUCUUGAGUGCAGUUGAGGCAGGCGGAAUUCGUGGUGUAGCGGUGAAAUGCUUAGAUAUCACGAAGAACUCCGAUUGCGAAGGCAGCCUGCUAAGCUGCAACUGACAUUGAGGCUCGAAAGUGUGGGUAUCAAACAGGAUUAGAUACCCUGGUAGUCCACACGGUAAACGAUGAAUACUCGCUGUUUGCGAUAUACUGCAAGCGGCCAAGCGAAAGCGUUAAGUAUUCCACCUGGGGAGUACGCCGGCAACGGUGAAACUCAAAGGAAUUGACGGGGGCCCGCACAAGCGGAGGAACAUGUGGUUUAAUUCGAUGAUACGCGAGGAACCUUACCCGGGCUUAAAUUGCAGAUGAAUUACGGUGAAAGCCGUAAGCCGCAAGGCAUCUGUGAAGGUGCUGCAUGGUUGUCGUCAGCUCGUGCCGUGAGGUGUCGGCUUAAGUGCCAUAACGAGCGCAACCCUUGUUGUCAGUUACUAACAGGUUCUGCUGAGGACUCUGACAAGACUGCCAUCGUAAGAUGUGAGGAAGGUGGGGAUGACGUCAAAUCAGCACGGCCCUUACGUCCGGGGCUACACACGUGUUACAAUGGGGGGUACAGAGGGCCGCUACCACGCGAGUGGAUACCAAUCCCAAAAACCUCUCUCAGUUCGGACUGGAGUCUGCAACCCGACUCCACGAAGCUGGAUUCGCUAGUAAUCGCGCAUCAGCCACGGCGCGGUGAAUACGUUCCCGGGCCUUGUACACACCGCCCGUCAAGCCAUGGGAGCCGGGGGUACCUGAAGUGCGUAACCGCGAGGAGCGCCCUAGGGUAAAACUGG